rnacentral:rRNA from 1 species
AUUGAACGCUGGCGGCAGGCCUAACACAUGCAAGUCGAACGAGUGGCGGACGGGUGAGUAAUGUCUGGGAAACUGCCUGAUGGAGGGGGAUAACUACUGGAAACGGUAGCUAAUACCGCAUACCAUCGGAUGUGCCCAGAUGGGAUUAGCUAGUAGGUGGGGUAAAGGCUCAACUAGGCGACGAUCCCUAGCUGGUCUGAGAGGAUGACCGGCGAUGCUGGAACUGAGACACUGUCUAGACUCCUACGGGAGGCAGCAGUGGGUAAUAUUGCAGCAUGGGCGCAAGCCUGAUGCAGCCAGGCGGCGGAUAUGAAGAAGGCCUUCGUGUUGUAAAGUACUUUCAGCGUGGAGGCGGGACCCGCAGAAGAAGCACCGGCGAACUCCGUGCCAGCAGAAGCGGUAAUAC